GUUACACUUCUACUGAGAUCUGUGCCUUCAGAGGAUCAACAGUGGACAUUAACUGUACCUAUACAUACCCAUCCACAGUUAAUCACCGUGAUACUACAGUUCAGGAAACUUUCUGGUUCAUUAAAGAGAGUAAUGGGAUUCACGUUGAUCUAAGUACUGAUCUGGAGUAUUCAGGUCGUGUGGAGAAUCUCUGUGGAAACAACAAGUGCACUCUGAGAAUCUCUAACCUGAGAGAGAGCGACUCAGCUGUGUACAAGUUCAGGUUCACAACAAACCAACCUACUGGGAGUUUUACUGGUUAUACUGGAGUCACUCUGUCUGUCACAGGUAACAUUUUCAUGAGAGUCAGUUUGAAAUGUUAGUGUGUAUGUUGAAAUAAAAUCACAUGUUUGUUCACAGACCCUCAGCUCCUGGUACAUGUGAGGAGAUCAACAGCCAAUCCAUCUUCUACCUGGACAGAGCUGACCUGUCACAGCAGGUGUCAGCUCCCUGAUCAUAUUUCCUACGUUUGGUACAAUAACAAUAAACCUGUUGGACGAAAAAAAUACUUUCACCUCCGACACUUUAAUCCUGAAGACAGCUAUCACUGUGCUAUAGAAGGACAGGAGCGUUUCCCUUCUCCUACAUUGUACUAUCCUUCAGAUGCUCCAAAGCCUCCCUCUGUGUCAGUGAGUCCCUCUGGUGAGAUCAUGGAGGGCAGCUCAUUGACUCUGACCUGCAGCAGUGAUGCUAACCCAGCAGCUAAAUACACCUGGUACAAGAGAAGAGGAUAUAAUCAAGUUCAACCUCUCAGUGAAGAGACACAAUUUGUCCUCAGCUACAUCCGGUCGUCAGACUCUGGAGAGUAUUACUGCACAGCUGAGAAUGAGCUGGGAAGGAGUUCAGCAAACAUCUUUAUUACUGUGACAUUUUUACCUGCAUCAUGGAGAUCAGCACUCAUUGGAUCAGCUGCUGCAGUUUUCCUCGCUGUGACUCUCCUCUCCGUGUU